rnacentral:lncRNA from 1 species
GUAAUAACAAUAAACUAAAUAGAAAGAUAAGAACAUUGGAGGACUAAAGGCCUAACUUUAAUCAGCAAUCAAUUAAACGAUCUUGAAUCUGAAAUAUCAGAUAAACUAACUAAAGGUCUAAGUUUAAUCUGCAAUCAAUAAAACGAUCUGGAUUCUGAAAUUUCAGAUAAACUAUCAUUUUUUUGUGGUGAUUGCGCCUUCCUUGUUAAAUUCUGAUUAUCCAGGAAUUAUAGAACCAAAAUCACAAAUCCAAAGCACACUAAUCAUUGCUUAUUUCAUGCAAAAUGCACAAAGAAAAUGUUUGACACGAAAAGGAAAAAAACAGAGAAAAAGUAAUACAAAGAUUACCAAAACAAAAAACUAGCUCCUGGCCAUGCUGCAGAAAUACUUCAUAACUUUUUCUUAAUGAUCUAAUCACAUAACGCAAAGAGAAGUGAAAGUGCCAAAGGAUUGAAGUUGCCCUGUGGGAGAAACCAGCCCUUCAGUGAAAUCUGAUUGCAAUUCAAAAACCCAGUUUCUUCCAUCACACGAAGUGAAGAAAUAAGAGAUCUUCAACUGAAAGUGCAUGCCAAAGGGUUAUAGUUGCCCUGUGGGGGAAAGGCCCCUCGAGGAGGUAGAAUUCAACCAACCCCAUUUCCCCCAGCAUAUUAAAUUCAUACCUUCGAUAUUACUCUGCCAACUCCCACCAUGCUGAAAAGACCCACUAAACCCUUGCUGUUGCCACGUUUGUUGGGUUCUGGCAUGGUGGGGGUGGCACCCUGACUAAGUGAAAUGACUAGGAAUCCUGAAAUAGCUCGUAAGUUAUAAUCCUGUAUGGCUUCUAGCUUGCUGAGGAUGAUAUAUGUGAGGACAGCUUUAUAAAAGAUAGAAACAAUGUGAUUGUUUUAAUUGUGGGUUUCUUCUCCAUGUGGUUCACCAAGUGAAAUAACAGAAUCUUCCAAGGGAUAUGCGGCGACCAACUUGCUCCACAUUCGGUGACCACAACUUUAG